CCUUUCCUGCUCCCACAAUGGUGGUAUCAUUGUUCCCACCUGAGCCACCAUAGCAGGAGCAAUUAGAUCACUGGAAAGGACUUGGAAGAAUAACUGAAGAAACAGGUAAUAAGAGACACAUGAAUCUGUGAGUCUAUGACUGAUGAUAAGAGACAUCUGCCUACCAGAGGUAAUGUGAAUAUUUAAUGUUGUGAAUCCAUAAAUAUUUAACUACAUUCAAAUAUUUAGCUACUAAAAUUGCCUCUCUAAAAAAAUGAGAUUUUCUGAAUACAGGGCCAUUUUUCUCAAGGCACAGUAUAGUCUGAGCAAUUCAUUAAAAAAAUCAUUUUUGACAACUUACCAUCGAUUACAGAGUGCAGCCCAGUGCGUGGUGGGAUCCCAUCUGAUACACUGAUCAGACAGAGUGUAAUAAAAGCCCUGAUCUGGCUAUCUCUCAUCACACACAGGAUGUCGGAAAACUGCUCCUGGUUUCUUGACAUUUAUAGAUCAUAUCCUUCCCUUGCUUUCCCUAGGGCAUCUUGUGAGACUCUCCUCUGAGCAAAAUUAUUGUGCCACAGUAUAGAAAAUAUAUGCACUGAGGAAAUGGUUAACAACAGCAAAUCAAAUAAUAGCUAACAGUGGGAGUUGAACUUGUGAAGGGGGAGGAGGGGAAGACAAAUUUCCAGGACUUUUGGCUGCAGACACAUCCUCAGGCAAAUUAAUGCAUGGAAAUGGAGGACUUGGGACUUAAUUCUCCAGAACCAUCUGUGCCCCGUGUCCUUAGGAAAGCCUCUACAUAACCCCAGGGCUCCGGUUCUUCAGUCUGAAGAUUGCUGCUCUUCACACAUCCUUUGUCUCUCCAAUUCUUAUCUGUGUCUGAAGCACUUUUUUCUCUCUCAACACUUUCUCUACCUUCAAAUUUCAGAGAAGACAGCUGCCAACCAAAAAGAAGGGGCCUCAGUAGGCCUCUACCUACCGGUCCUUAUCAAUGUCAUCACCAUUGCUGAAGCCUUUACCACCUCCACUUCCGUUCCCAUCACAGCCUCCUUGAUUUCCAAACUAUGGUUGUCCACUUUAAGCACUUCCUUCUCUAUUACUUGAUAAAUGAUUAAUUGAUUAUCCAACAUGGACUUUGGUUCUGUCUGCUACCUUAGAGAGGCCCAAGGAGUCCUUUGAAGACAUGGAAGAGACACAUGUGUGUUAGUGUAUCGGCAAAGGGGCGUUUAUGACAUCAGCAGUAUUGUUACUGGAAAGGGGUCCCAAUCCAGACGCCAAGAUAGGCUUCUUGGAUCUCAUGCAAGAAAGAAUUUGAGGCAAGUCCAUAGAGCAAAGUGAAAGCAAGUUUAUUAAGAAAGUAAAGGAAAUAAAGAAAUUUCUUUCCCCUCCUUCUCUCCCUCCCUCCCUCCUUCCCUCCCUCUUUCCUUCCUUCCUUCCUUCCUUCCUUCCUUCCUUCCUUCCUUCCUUCCUUCCUUCCUUCCUUCCUUCGUUCCUUCUUCCUCUCUGUCUCUCUGUCUCUCUCUCUUUCUCUCUCUCUCGACAGGGUCUUCUGCUGCUGCCCAGGCUGGAGUGCACUGGUACUAUCACAGCUCACUGUAGCCUCUACCUCUGGAACUCGGGUGAUUAUUCCACCUCAGCCUCCCAAGUAGCUGGGACUACAGGUGCACACCACCACACCCUAAUUUUUGUAUUUUUUGUAGACAUGGGAUUUUGCCAUGUUGCCCAGGCUGGUCUGGAACUCCUGGGCUCAAGCGAUCUGCCUACCUUGGCCUCCCAAAGUGCUGGGAUUACAGGCAUGAGCCACCAUGCCUGGCCCCAACUUUUCUUUAAAGAAGCAGAAAUAAAAGUACAAAGAAAAAAUGUAAAAUACACUAAACUAUUGAUAAUGUAAAUUAUCUCUGGAGGGAAGGACUCGGCG
rnacentral:lncRNA from 1 species